CGGCAGCACGGACUUCGGUCUGGUGGCGAGUGGCGAACGGGUGAGUAAUGUAUCGGAACGUGCCCAGUAGCGGGGGAUAACUACGCGAAAGCGUAGCUAAUACCGCAUACGCCCUACGGGGGAAAGCAGGGGAUCGCAAGACCUUGCACUAUUGGAGCGGCCGAUAUCGGAUUAGCUAGUUGGUGGGGUAACGGCUCACCAAGGCGACGAUCCGUAGCUGGUUUGAGAGGACGACCAGCCACACUGGGACUGAGACACGGCCCAGACUCCUACGGGAGGCAGCAGUGGGGAAUUUUGGACAAUGGGGGAAACCCUGAUCCAGCCAUCCCGCGUGUGCGAUGAAGGCCUUCGGGUUGUAAAGCACUUUUGGCAGGAAAGAAACGUCGCGGGUUAAUACCCCGCGAAACUGACGGUACCUGCAGAAUAAGCACCGGCUAACUACGUGCCAGCAGCCGCGGUAAUACGUAGGGUGCAAGCGUUAAUCGGAAUUACUGGGCGUAAAGCGUGCGCAGGCGGUUCGGAAAGAAAGAUGUGAAAUCCCAGAGCUUAACUUUGGAACUGCAUUUUUAACUACCGGGCUAGAGUGUGUCAGAGGGAGGUGGAAUUCCGCGUGUAGCAGUGAAAUGCGUAGAUAUGCGGAGGAACACCGAUGGC
rnacentral:rRNA from 1 species